GGGCGAGUCGGGCCUGCGGGCGACGCGAGGCCGCGCGGGGGGCGCCGCUGCCCCAGGUCGCGAGGGAGGAGGGGGGCGCCCUGGGGGACGCGGCCGCCGCGGAGGCCCGAAAGCCUCGGUGCCCGGCCUCUGACCGCCCCGCAGCCGCAUCUGGAGCCAGUCGCGCCCCCAGACCCUCGUCUCGUUUUCAUUUCCCAGCAAAGUGUGUGCGGUUGCGUGGUGGUCACGGAGAAGCGAGACCCAGAGGCCCCGCCCUGGAUGGGAUUCAUAAUUGGAAAGAAAAAAAAAAAAAAGUUUUUCCUCCUGGGAUCGCAGGCGCUCGCCUUGCCUUUCUGGACUCCCCGCCGCGCCCACGAGCCCCCCAGGCUGCCUUCAUUCUCCGCCUAACUUGAGGCCCUUCAGCGCACACGUAGCACACCCCUCUGUCCCAAGUGCUCAAAGUCGGGGCGUCGCGUGGUGUGCUUAGUUGUUUAGUCCUCUGUCACGCUAAUACGUUGUGUCGAUCUAGGGCACGGACGCUUCCUCGCAGGCGAUUUUGACAGCAAUCAUCCUACCAAGCUAUUAUGAAGUGUGAUGUCAGUGCGUUCUGCAGGACGGAUAAUGUAUAAGCCAGAUCUUGACACGCUAUCUUACAAGGAAGCAGCUGAGACCAUCAGUCCUUUCAAGCACGGAUCGCAGUGCCCAGUGGUCAAUACCCUUACUUUUAUCCAGUGUCUGCUUCAUUUAAACUUAAUCAACUCCAUCAACGAACUGGAACAGGGAAACGUCCCUGCGGUAAGAAUGUUGUGCUUUUGUGGGAUAAUUCUUUGCUCUUUCCCGAUCCGUUGCCGUUAAACCUAAAAUUGCACUAUGAUGAACUUUUUUUUUUUUUUAAUCAAUAUGAUAAUGACAAUUGGGUCUGAACGCUCUGGUAGGAAGGACUUAGACUAGAGCUGAAUCUGGCUUCCAUCACCAAAACAACUUCUGGUCCUACGAUAGUCUGCCUCCUUUUGUUGUGUGGCUUUAAUACCUUUUCUUCCCUGACAUUGAAUAUUGCUCAAGCUGGAAAAUGAUGCAUCUUUGUAGGGAAGGCUCAUAUGUCACAGCCAGAAAGUGAAGCAGACCGAUUGGUUGUGUGAAUUAUCUGACUUGCUGCAGUGAAUUAUUUGCACUGUUUCCCUACCUAGUCAACAAGUUCCUGAGGUAUAGUAGAGAUCAAUCAAAACUGACAGCCCGCAUGUGAAGGCUUUACUGUGUAAAUCUGGCGCACUCAUCCUGGCCAUGCCGGCCCUGGCAUCUGUAUAUCAUUUUUAUACUGCUACCAGUAGAGCAAUUUCAAAAGUAUUUGCAAGGAAAAUGCGUGUCCCCAUCUGUUCCUAGAAGCAUAAAUGUGCCACCUUCAGAGGGUUUUCACUGGUAAUCAUAUCUUUAAUGAUCAACAGACUAGUGAUAUAUAUUUUUCCAUAAAAUGGGGUUUUUUUCACUUUAUUGUGAUUGGCUAGAAUAAAUAGCUUUUCCAUAUGUUAGGGAGAUAAAAU
rnacentral:lncRNA from 12 species